UACGGGGGGGGGCAAGCGUUGUUCGGAAUUACUGGGCGUAAAGCGUGCGCAGGCGGUGAUGUAAGACAGAUGUGAAAUCCCCGGGCUCAACCUGGGAACUGCAUUUGUGACUGCAUCGCUGGAGUGCGGCAGAGGGGGAUGGAAUUCCGCGUGUAGCAGUGAAAUGCGUAGAUAUGCGGAGGAACACCGAUGGCGAAGGCAAUCCCCUGGGCCUGCACUGACGCUCAUGCACGAAAGCGUGGGGAGCAAACAGG
rnacentral:rRNA from 1 species